rnacentral:rRNA from 1 species
UACGUAGGGGGCAAGCGUUGUCCGGAUUUAUUGGGCGUAAAGAGCGUGUAGGCGGCCAGGUAGGUCGGUUGUGAAAACUCGAGGCUCAACCUCGAGAUGUCGACCGAAACCAUCUGGCUAGAGUCCGGAAGAGGAGAAUGGAAUUCCCGGUGUAGCGGUGAAAUGCGCAGAUAUCGGGAAGAACACCCGUGGCGAAGGCGGUUCUCUGGGACGGUACUGACGCUGAGGCGCGAAAGCCAGGGGAGCAAACGGG